GCCUCAAUGGCUCAGUGGUAGAGCGCGUCACAAAAAAUGAUGAGAUCCCCGGUUCAAACCCGGGUUGAGGCU
rnacentral:tRNA from 1 species